CAAGAACUUCCGGCACAGGCUGAGUAGUGGUGUAAAAAUGGCUUUGGAAUGGCAACAUUCGACCGAAAAUCUUGUUAAAAGUUUUGACCAUUCCGCAUCCAAGUAAGGUAACAUCAUGGCCGGACAACAUGUCGAUAUGGCCCAGCAUCACAACAUCCAAGAUCUUUUCUUAUUUUAUUGAUUCCAUGGCGGUGGAUGGGAAUGCAAUUAAUAACCUAAGAAAGCUCAGAGGCGUUUCAGUACCUCCAUUCCGACAAAGUGGGCUGUGUACUUUUACACGAUAUGGGCAUAGAACGGCCGAUGUUCAACCAAGCCAGUCCGUUAACAAUUCAGCGCGUAACGCCUGGGUUUUGGUUACCAAGACGGGAGAUGUGGAGCUUUGCGCUUUGGAAGACAGACUCAUCGGACAAGGGGCUGGGUGCCGUUUUGUCCCAGGAGGUGGGGGGGGAGAGUUGACUGCCCCGUGUUAUAAAUCAGCCGGAGGCUGUCCGAGUGGGAGGCCAGGUACAGCACGGUGGAGUAGGAGUGCCUGGCCAUCCAGUGGGCGUUGGACUCCCUGCGCUACUACCUCCUGGGACGUCAUUCACCCUCUGUUCGGACCACGACCCGCUCCCCGCAUGAAGGAUACCAUACUAAUCUCCGCUCCCUCUUUUUUAAAUUGGUUCUGUUCAACCCUCUUUAAUGUUUUGUGUCUGUCUUUUUUGUUUUAUUUUUGUGUGAACUUUGUGGGAAUCGUAUUGCAUCUGUAAGUGUCGGUAUUGUUAAUAUUUCUUCUUUUAUCUGGCCGUAGAGUCGAUCAUGCCCGUUCCUGUGAACACCAAAUUGACUUGAGAAUCCUCAAGCUGAAAUAACAUCACCUGCCCAAAGUUCCAGUUUCCUGAAUACAAAGCCCUCUGUUUGGGAAUUUAUCCCACCUGACGAGUCUCGACGCAGUGACUCAAACAUCUUUGUCAAGGUUAAUUACAGAGGAUCAUUGCAGUCCAAAUUGAACACUGACUGGUCAACAUGAGUCGUCAAGUGCAUGUGUGUGACUCCCCACCGGGUUGUGUGACCUCCUCAGUCAAGUCUGGACUCAGUGAUUCAUUACUCUUGAUCAUGUUUACUCAUUUAUGGACACAUGCUGUUUUUUGUGUUUAGCUAUAGCUAAAGUUAAAAUCCAUUCCAAAACAAUUGUAUACUGUAUUUUUUGUAAUUGAAUUAUUUUUUCUUUUUAAUGUUUGCACUUGUCUCAAUUUUUUCUUUGGCCUAGAUGUCAAGCAAACGUUGGACCUGUCCCACACGUACUUUUUUCCUUUCAACCUUAGGCUAAUCUUAAAAGGAAGAGGUAGUGUGCAUUAGAAAGAGGGGUAGAGAACUGGCACAACUUCCAGUCUUUGUUUGUGCCACGCUCUUACAUUAUUAUUUUAUUGUGUAAUUUAACAACUGAAAAGUUGAUUCUUAUGCCCACAGUAAUUUCCUGCCUCCCUCCCUCAUUUACAGAGACUCACUCUUGUGGCCAAUUAGUCAAUGUCUGUUGAAAUGUCUUCAUUUUUCAUUUGAGUGUUCAUUGAUCAGUAUAAUUGUAAUUAAUAAGCCAAUUUCACUUGGCAGAGAUGGGAGUUUUUGGCACUUGUUUUGAAUACCCUCAGUUAGUUACGGGGGAGGAAACGAGGGUCUCAUUAACUAGGUCGAAAUACAUGACUUUAUUAAUCUUCUACUGCCUGGGAUGUUAAAGAUUUGGUAUCAUCAGGCAGUUUAUGCUGUAUGGUAUUCACCACUGCACAUCUAGAGCUGACCUGAAAACACUGCUAUUGAUGGAUUCUGCUUGUGUGAACACCUGAUAAAGAAAAUGAAAGAGCUAAAGGAGGGUAAGCACUGGACAUAUGUUUGUUAGGGCAUUGUUACGGCCUUUUGGAAUGUUUAGGGAUAUGGCUGCAAGGCGAGCAAAAUAGCUGAAAGUGUAUCUACUUUGCCUGUGAACAUAGCAACCAGGAAAAGGAAGUUUAAUUAGGGAAAGGUUUUCAGUCUUCUAUACAACUCAACAUCACGGUUGUAAUUUUUGUCUUUUAAAGGGCUUUCCAGUCUUUAAACAUGCAACAUCCUCUGUCCCGAAACCCUUACAACAGCACAGGAAAAACUUGAUGAAAAAACCCUUUAACCGGGAGAAAAGAGGAAGAAAGGGCAUAGGAGGGAUCCCUCUAUCAAAAUGAACAACACGUAAAAGAUGUACAGUAUGUACGAAAUAUGACAGAAAUAAUUUAGAGUAGUGGGCGUCGUCACGACUUAAAAUGACUACUGAUAAUAAAAGCUGUAUUGGAUGAAGAAGGCUAACAAUAAUAACAAAUGAUUAUGGUGUCAGCAAUAGUGAUAUGACUACUGUAAAGGGCUGAGGGGCAGAAUAGGAAAAGGGGUGUAUGUACCUACACCAUCGGAAUCAAGCCAUCGCAAUCAGGUGUGCCAGGAGACAUACCUGGACCUCAUCAAGGGGGGUACAAAAGAAGGCGGAAGGAGCAGUGAAGGGAGACAAGUUGAGGGAGGACCCCGUAAGCGGCCCG
ensembl:lncRNA